rnacentral:lncRNA from 1 species
GGGGUUUUGUCAAGCUGAUCAUUUUGGUUAUAUACUGCUUCUCUUUUUACUAUAGCUUUAAAAUAAAACACAAAACAGGUAAAAUCGUCAAUGAGAGGCAAAAACUCCUGAAUAUUGACUUUUCUACAGAUGUUGACCUGCUGAUUUUUCUUGCUGUUUCAAGUUUCUGUUUAUCUAUGAAAGUUUGAAGAAAUGUAGUUUUAUUGACAAUAAGAGAACUAUCCAUCAGAGAUUAAAUUUCUUGUUCAAUAUAAAAAAAGAAGAUGUGGUAUGAUUGCCAAUGAGACAACUAUCCACAAAAGACUUCAUAUCAUUAGUUUUGCACUUCAGACUAUUCCAUUGAUAAGGAUUUGGGUGGAUAGGAAUGACUUUCAGUAUACAUCUCCCUACUUUUAAAUGUACAUACAUUAAGGAGUUAUUUUACAUACACCAUUUGUCAAACAAGCAAAAACAAACCACGACCCAAAUGUCCAAAAAUAAAAAUUCCUUUCUUCACCAUAUUUAUUUCAAUGGAAUAGCUGUUAAACAAUUCUGAUCUUUAAGGCAGAGUUGUUUUUCUAAUGUUGUCUGUUGAAUUCAAUCACAGCAAGACUACAUGUUGUGUUGUGAUGGACUACUUGCUCAGAUACAGGUUCUUUUUCAUUGUUGAAGGCUAUAUUGUGACCACUUCUCAUGCAUUUUGUUAAAUUAAAAUGCUGGGACAGCGUCUCAGUCAUUUAUUAUCUUGGAUUCACAUUUUCGUGGAUUAUUGAAAUUGUAUUGUUCUUAGAUACUCAAUUUUGUUGUUUUUCCAAAUUUUGCAUUUAAGUUUAUGAGAAUUUCAGCUUUAUUGACCAUUUGUGGUUCACCUAUACCCCCAAGGAAUGGUAUAAUAGGAAUAAUUUCUUUCUUGUUUGUUUAGGAAUGGAAAAUGAAAUGAAUGCAAUAAUAUAUAUAUUCAUAUACUGUAUUUGUAAAGCAUAAUAUAAAUGUAUAAUGAAAUGUCACCAGGUUAACAGCAAAUUUACAGAAGGUAUUGUUCAAUAAUGGUUAGAUGACAUUUAAGGUGGUACCUAACACUACAGGGAGAUAACUCUGUAAAGUCAUCUAAACGUUUUAAUUAUGUUGUGUUGUAAAAGGAAUAUUAAGCUUCUCAAUGAUCAAAAUUGGUGUUUGUCAAACUGUUAUAUAACCAGUGUUAAUUUUUUCCGACAAAACGGUUGGUUAAAAAUUUUUGAAUUUUUAUAUUUUUGUAAAGGGUCAAAGUAAAUACUUUGACCAAAUUUUAUGAAAAUUAAACGGGACGAAUAAAUUUCAGUGAAAGUGUUGGGUACCACCUUAAAAUAUCAAUGAUAACAUGAACCUUGUUCUUGCUUGGAAAAUCCAGCAACAACUAUUACAAAGUAAUAUAAGAAGUCAUUCAAUAAACUAACAAUAAAGGCACUUAAAUUAAUUGAAAAUUUAACAAAUCAUUCAUAAAUCCAGAAAUACAAAUAAUGUCUUCAAAUAUAGUUAUUAGUGAUGCCAUGAUUUUAACAACUUAUUUAGGUGAUCUCAAUAUUGCUAUAAAAGUUCUUUGUAAAACUAAAUUAUGAGUGUCAAAUUGAACAAAAAUCAAUACUGACUGAGGUUUUGGGCUGAGGUCAUUAUUCAUUUUGGUGCAACCACCAAAGAAACAGCUUUAUGAGUGUUUUUAAGGUAGCAUCUUAGAAAAUGAUUUAUUCAAACAUGUAAUUUUUAUCAAUAUGAUUACUGAUAAAUAAUGAAAAUUAUGUUUAGUAAAUUUGUUUCUGAUGUAAUACUGGUUUAAACUAUGCAACUAUAAAAAUAAAUUAUUGUAUAAAAAAAUUAUUCAUACUUUGUAAUCAUCAACAUGAUUUUGAUUAAAAAAAUGAUUAACCAAAAUAUACACAAAAUAAUCAAUGCAUACAACAUCGACCAGAGCAGCCAAUUUCCAUUUCAGAAAAAAACAUUCAAAUUUUUACAAAAUGAUGCAUUCCUUUCGUUCAUCAAUU